rnacentral:rRNA from 1 species
UACAGAGGGUGCGAGCGUUGUCCGGAAUCACUGGGCGUAAAGGGCGCGUAGGUGGUGGCUUAAGCGUGCGGUGAAAGCUCGGGGCUCAACCCCGAGUCGGCCGUGCGAACUGAGUCGCUUGAGCACUGUAGAGGCAGGCGGAAUUCCGGGUGUAGCGGUGGAAUGCGUAGAGAUCCGGAAGAACACCGGUGGCGAAGGCGGCCUGCUGGGCAGUAGCUGACACUGAGGCGCGACAGCGUGGGGGAGCAAACAGG